rnacentral:lncRNA from 1 species
UAGUUUAAAAAUAAAGUUAUCAGGCUAAGUAAAUUCUGUUCUUUUAUUUAACUUGAUGAUGAAACAGUAACUUAAACAGGUAUGUCUGAUGUGACAGGAUUUUUAGAAAGGGAAUAUUUACAUAUCUAAUUUUAGUAAUUUUUUUCUAAGCUACCUUUAAAUUGCCAUUAAUAGGAGGUAAUGACUAUUACAGAGUAUUUUUACUUUCAACUCCUUCUACAUAUAUAUUGGUAUAAAUGAAAUACCAGGAUUUAGUCGUUCAGCACAGUACAUGGAACAGGAGUACAUGAGGAAACAGAGUUCUAGAAAUAUACCAGUGCUUAAAUAAGUGGCUUAAAUUCUUAUACUUUGGGCUCCAGAGCAAAUCAUUUUGUUCCUGCUAGUGAUAUUAUGUCCAAUUUUGUGUUUUUGUUUUCAGUUCUCAGGCAUUAUUCUGGGAUUUUAGGGGGGCAGUAAGGUGGGGUGAAAAAUUGUAGUUGACAUUUUCAUCUGGAGAAAAACAAGUCAUCUGAUAAAAGUAAUUAAUCUUCUAGUUCAAAGCAACUUCAGAAUUUUAUGUUUAGGAAUUACCCAUGGGCCUAAUUAGUCCCAUUUAGAAUAAUUUCUUAACUUUAGAAUGCCUGGUGGACAGGGAAGAUUUAUUUACAUGUCUAGAUUUUAGUUAAGUUAAAUUUUGCCUGGCUUGUUUAAAUUUGUAGAAAAGCAAACCACUUAUUUAUUCUUCUUAAGAGCUGAUUUGACGUAGAUUGUUUGUAUCAAAAUACACUGAUGCCUAGAUUGGUUUGAAAUCAUUCUAAGUGAUCAGCUAGUUUGAUAACUGCUUAAAGGAAAUAGCUUUGGAUAAACAACUCAAUGAGACUUUGGAGAAAACAAGCAUCUCUUUUUUUUUUUUAAGGAGUGGCUAUCCAAUAAUAUCACUAUGAAAAAAAUAAGAUGAUUCUACUAUUUUAAAGAUCAUACUGGAAGGGUAAAAACUGGAGGAAAAAAAUAUCUUCUAAUACCAAGUAUUAUAAUGAAUAUUUUAAACUCUAAUUUGCAACCUCACUUUAAAACCUGGCAA